UCGCCUGUUUAUCCAAAAACAUAGUUUGUUGGUUUUUAUAAUAGRUGUUUUCUGCCCGGUGCUAUGUKUAAACGGCCGCAGUAUUUCUGACUGUGCGAAGGUAGCGUAAUCAUUUGUCCUUUAAUUGGGGGCCUGUAUGAAGGAAVGWUUGAGACUUCAUCUGUCUUUUUUUGAGAGUUAGAAUUUUCUAUUUUUGUGAAGAAGCAAAGGUUUGUUAGAAAGACAAGAAGACCCUUUUAAGCUUUACUUUUUGUUUGUGUUUAUUUUUGCUAUAUGAGAAGUAUAAUUUGAUGUUUUGAAUAGUUUGGUUGGGGCGAUCAGAGAAGAUGUGAUCUUCUCUUUUUAUUUAACUUUGAGUUUAACAAUGACCCAAAAUGUUUUGGUUGUAAGAAUUAGUUACUAAAGGGAUAACAGCGUAAUCUUUUCUGAGAGUUCUUAUUGAAGAAAGGGGUUGCGACCUCGAUGUUGACUUGCUUUUUCCUUUUUAAGGUGCAGAAGCUGUAAGGGUUGGACUGUUCGUCCAUUAAAAUAGUACGUGAUCUGAGUUCAGACCGGG
rnacentral:rRNA from 1 species